rnacentral:misc_RNA from 1 species
GUGUAUUUGUUUUUUUUAUUGUACCUUUGUCAAGGUUAGAUGGCUAAUAAAGUAAAUUCCAUUGAGAUUGGGAAACCAUUUCCAUGCUAUUUUUGGGCGUUCUGGUUGUGUUUUCUAAUGGUGGCUCUUUCUGUAUGUGGAUAGAACGGUUUGCAGAUUGUUAGAAGUAUAUCUAGUGUAAGGUGGAACUGGGAUUGGAGCUGUGUUUUUCUUUUUCAGAAUGUGUGCAUUAGGAUUGUGGCUGCUGGAGAAUAUGGCAUUCAAUUGUAUUAAUCUGGUAGCUUUUCUCUGUAGCUUAUGCUCAGCUUGUGAAUGGAGAUUGGAAUGAAUUAGACAGGCGGUGGAAUGGUGUCUGGCGCUUGCAGGGAAUAAAGAAGGUGCUGACCUUGUUAUUUAUUCCUGAUCGGUUAUAGGGUAAUGGGAAUUGUUAAGCUCCUACAGUUAAUUGUGCCAACUGCCAGAGAUGGGACCAUUAUUCAUGUUUUGAGAUGGUUGUCUUGCCAUCCAAUUUUCAGGACCUCGUUCAAACGCAAACUGCUUGUCUGGUCUUGAUCAAGACUAACGUUAAAGAUUUGGUGUUCUGGAACAAGGGUGUUUUCUCUUUUGAUUGAUCAAGCUGGAAAGAUUGGAGCAGACUAUGCUGUGGCAUUGAUUGCUGGUUGAAUGCGUCAUUGGGUAUUAGCUAUUGAGAGUUGGAAUUUGUUGCUAUGAUGAAGUAAUUAGUGACUUCUGUUAAUGGAA